UGUUGAGAUAAUGAUAAUAAGGGUAAAGGUGAGUGAUGAAGAGUUCAGGCAGAAGCUGUCAAUUCCGGCCCCAACUCCAAAAGGCUUAAUGAGGACGCAAACGCAGCACAUAGAUAUAUACAUGCUCCAAUCCUAAACGCCUCACCAAUCCUCUAAAAGGUAAUGAUGAAGUUGGGGUCCUUUCACUACCCUUCUGGCAUGUGUACUGCAAAACAACUUCCUGUAAAGCUAAGCAGGUAUGUCUGUACCAUGAUGGAACUCUGUGUACUAUCACGAAUCAUUGAAUGCUUUUACUUCAUGGAUAUUUGGGGUAACAUUAUUUCCCUCUCCUCCUUUCCUGUUCCCUUGUUAUCUAUAUUUCAAUCUUCAAUUUUUUCUUGAGUGAAGAAAAUCUCUUUCUGGCUAGUGGUUAAUAGCUAAUGACUAAUAGCUAAUGGCUAUCAUAUCAGAUUGGCUAAUGGCCAUCAUAUCAGAAGGGGCAUGAUUAGUUUUUAACUUUUUGUGUGAUGUAUUUAUGUUUGUGUUGCAUUGUCAGUGAUUUUGAUCCUUGUGUGCUGGAAAAUCUAGAUUAGUUGUACCUCAGAAUACAUGAAAUUGUUUGCUUAACUAGAUAUAUGGCACAUGUGCUACUUUCCUAUCUAUAAAUAGUAUGUACUUCA